GAUGAACGCUGGCGGCGUGCUUAAGACAUGCAAGUCGAACGAAGAGAUUGUAGCAAUACGGUCUCUUAGUGGCGAAUGGGUGCGUAACACGUAGGUGACCUGCCCCGAAGUGUGGAAUAACAGUCCGAAAGGAUUGCUAAUACCGCAUGUGGUCCCGGUUUUUAGAAAACCGGGUACUAAAGUAGCAAUACGCUUCGGGAGGGGCCGUGCGGCCCACUCAGUUAGUUGGUAGGGUAACGGCCUACCAAGACAACGACGGGUA
rnacentral:rRNA from 1 species